rnacentral:misc_RNA from 1 species
AUGCUGAUGGGAAGUCUAGGUAAUUGAAUUUCUUAUAAUUAAUGAGAACAAAGUUUUGUAUUUAGUAGCAUUGGGUUUACAAUAUUAUAAAGUGUCUAUAAGUUGAGUAAAAUAAUGAGACUGCACACAAGAUUCAAUAAAAAAGGAUGGUGGAUGGAGUAUUUAUGAAGCUAGCCCGUGAGGAAGCGAGCUACUCAUCCAUUAUGAUAUGGGAUAAUCAUAAUAUCAUAAUUCCAUCGAUGCAUUCUACAUCUUUUCUUUAGAACUUAUUGAAUAUAGUUCGAUUAUAUGUAUUUUGGUUGCGAUAGUUGUUAGCAUUCUGUUA